GAAGACCAAAAAUAAAAGAUUUAGAGCAAUUAAUUAUUCAGCCAUUAAGAGCUUUGGGUGGAUGCCUUGGCAGAGCAGAGAAGAGACGUUACACAUAACGAAAUACCAUGGGAAGGCUUGUAAUCCCUGAGAUCCAUGGUUUUCUCGUCGGGAAACCUUAAUUUAAACAUACCUAGUGAACUGAAACAUCUUAGUAGCUAGAGGAAAAGAAAUCAACCGAGAUCCCGUUAGUAGUGGUGAGCGAACCCGGGAAAGGCCAGUUCUUUCCCCAUUUUGUCAAGAAACAAAGAUGGGGGGAUGUGUAGGUUGAACACACAUCCAUGCAUCAUUCAGUGAUGCAUCAUACGUUUUCACAGCAAAAAAUCAAAAUAAGGAGUGGAAUCCCAUGCCAUAGAAGGUGAAAGCCCUGUAGAUUUUAGCCCAUCAACAAUCCGUUCUCCCCAACACAACAACUGACCUUUUCAUCAAAGAGUAUAGUCUACCAUGCAUUGAACAUCAAUGAAGAUGAUAACGAGAUACCAUUCUGUGACGGUAAAGGUUAAUGUUGGCGAACAAAUAUUCGAUUAUUGAGAAAACAUUAAUAAGAACACAGUGAGUAGAGCGAGAUACACAUCUUGCUUGAAGAUAGAGGGACCACCCUCUAAGCCUAAUCAUGCUGCUCUGACCGAUAGUGAACUAGUACCGUGAGGGAAAGGAGAAACAGCACCCCAGGUGGGGAGUGAAAGAGAUACUAAAACCCAAUGCUUACAAGCAGUUGAAGCUUGUUCAAUCCGCCCCCCCAAACCUUUGGAGAGGAAAAAGAUUGACGAGUGACAGCGUACCUUUUGCAUAAUGGGUCAGCGAGUAAGUUGAUGCAGCAAGCUUAAGUCAUUAGACGUAGGCGUAGCAAAAGCGAGUCUUCACAGGGCUAAGGGGCCUUGUCCCCAAUUAGUUGCAUCAACUUUACCCGAAACCGGGUGAUCUAGCUAUGAGCAGGUUGAAAGGGGGGUAACACUUUCUGGAGGACCGAACCCGUGUCUGUGGCAAUAGGCAGGGAUGACUUGUGGCUAGGGGUGAAAAGCCAAUCGAACUCGGAGAUAGCUGGUUUUCUGCGAAACCCAUUUAGGUGGGGCGUAAAAUAGAUUCUCUCCUCAAAUAAAUUGCACCUGCAAUGCUCCAUAAUAGAGUUGAGAACAGGAAUGGUGGGGGGGGUAGAGCACUCCAUGGGAAAGGGUGGCCCAAAGCCUUACCGAUUCCAAGGAAACUCCGAAUACCCUUACCAAUCUUUUACAGACAGGCUUUGGGUGCAAAGGUCCAAAGCCGAGAGGGAAACAGCCCAGAUCGUACGCUAAGGUCUCCAAGAGACAACUAAGUGGGAAAGGAAGUUUCUGGGCAAAGACAACCAGGAGGUGGGCUUGGAAGCAGCCAUCCUUUGAAGAAAGCGUAAUAGCUCACUGGUCUAGCCCAGAUGCGCCGAAAAUGUCACGAGGCUCAAGUUGUCCACCGAAGCGACGGCUUCUGCUAGAACAGCAGAAGAGUAGCAGAACGUCCUGUAAAUUAUUGAAGGCAAGCUGUCAAGCUUGCAAGAGAUAUCAGGAGUGAGAAUGCUGACAUGAGUAACGCGAAAUCAUGUGGAAUUCAUGAUCGCCGCAAGUUCUAGGGUUCCCACAGAUGUAAUUCGAUGUGGGUUGAAUCGGCCCCUAAGGGCACAGCGAAAGUUUUCCCCGAUGGGUACCUCCCAAGUGACGAGGUCUCCUUUCUGCACAUGUUUUGAAUGUGACGAACCAGUUUCGACAGGAGUUUUCAUUUAGAAGAUAUGCACGAGACAGAAAAAGAUAGAGGAUAUUGGAUGUCACUACCAUUCUAGGGCCUCCUGGAAAGAACUUGGGAGAUGGCCAACAAAUGCAUCAGUCGAUAGAUAUCUUCUACGGAGUGGUGCUUGGUCAGUAGACCGUACCUAAACCAACACAGGUGAACUGGUUUAGUAAACCAAGGCGAUAGAGAAAACCAUGUUGAAGGAACUCGGCAAAUUGACUCCGUAACUUCGGGAUAAGGAGGGCCUUCUUGCCCCAAAGCAAGAAGGCGGCACAGAAUAGGGGGUGGCGACUGUUUAUUAAAAACACAGGACUCAGCCAAAUGGCAACAUCAAGUAUUGGGUCUGACGCCUGCCCGGUGCUGGCAGCUAAAAGGGAGGGGUAAAAUCGAAAUUUUCGAAAAAGCUCUCAACUGAAGGUCCAGUAAACGGCGGCCGUAACUCUGACGGUCCUAAGGUAGCGAAAUUCCUUGUCAGGUAAAACAACAACUUGCCUGAGGGAGAGAGUGAUCUCACCCAUGUACACUGACUCAUAACGGGGAAAGCUAACCCAUCGAAUCAUAAAAAGGAAGGAUUCAAUCUCAGUUACUUAUUAAGCAUCUGAGUCAUGCAGGGUGGUAUGCCAAUCCCGUGGGAAGCCCCUUUGAAAAAUCACUGGUAGAUUGUAUUUACCUUUGGAUUCACUUAUUCUCCCUGAAAAGGGUAAAAGAUAAGUAAUUUACGACUCUAUUUGAUAGAGUCCAGACCUAAAGAACUAACAAGCAAGAGGCAUUGUACAAUGCCAGGUCAAGGGGCCCUGUAACGACUGACUCGAAAGAGGAGGCUCCUGUAGAGGAAAGGGAUCUAAAACCCACUUCCAACAAUGUUAGAUGGUGAAAUCUAACAUCGAAAUUACUAGGAGCAAUACGCCAGCCCUUGUCAGUUCUAAGCCGAUUAUGGAUACUCGAGCUUGUAUUACUAAUCUUCUCUUCCGAAGAAAUAGAGGAUGACUCUGUUUAAAAAAAAACAGAGGAUGACUCUCUUCCGAAGAAAUAGAGGAUGACUCUGCUUAAAAAAAACAGAGGAGUAUUAAUAAGUUUCAGCUAGGGUAACCUACUUUCAGGCGGCAAGGUGAAAGGAUAGUCUAUACCCCUUAGAAAUGAGGGAUAAAUAAAAAAAGAGGAUUUAUGGGAAAAACCAAGUUAGAAACGGAAUUGUUUGAAAGAAGUUCAACGGAGUGGAACCAUUACCUGUCAGGGUUUAUCGACGGAGAAGGCUGCUUCUCAGUUAGUUUUACUUUACGGGAAAAGAUGAAGUAUGGUGUUGAAAUCAGACCCAGCUUCUCCAUUGGACAAUCUAUCACCAAAGACAAUUAUCUUUUAUUGGAACAAGUAAAGAGAGUGCUAGGUUGUGGGGCGAUUAGGGUCAGCAAAAGUGACCGAUGCUAUAAGUAUGAGACCCGCAAUUUAACCGACAUAAGAAAGAGUAUAAUUCCCUUUGUUGAGGCCUACCCUCUUUAUUCCAGUAAGAGGAAUGAUUUCUUACUUUUUGCCCAGAUUUGCUCGCUCAUUGCAAACAAAUCCCAUCUUACCCCGGAAGGGAUAGAGAAGGUGAUUGACCUCUCUUUCUCAAUGAACGAGAGUGGCAUCCGCAAAACAACACGAGCUAAACUAUUAGAAACAAUAGAGAAGAGGCGUACUUUGUUGUUCUUGAAUCACUGAUAGAUUUUCUAUCAUUGAAAAAUGCGGACUUAAAGGUAAUACUAAUACCUUUAAGGCGGACUUAAAGGGAAACAAACCCUUUAAGGAGUAAAAACUAUGAAGUUCUGACCUGCAUGAAUGGCGUCACGACUGCCCCGCUGUCUCCAACAUGGGCUCAGUGAAAUUGAAAUCUCCGUGCAGAUGCGGAGUUCCCAAAAAAAGACGGUAAGACCCUAUGCACCUUUACUACAAUUUGCUGCUGAGGGAAGAGAUGUAUCGUGUAGAAUAGGUGGGAGCCACCCCUACCAUGAUUUUGUGGUGGAUAACAUCAUGAAGUGAUGUAAGGGACUGGGCGUCGUUGAAAUACCACCCUUUACAUCUCAUCCUUCUAACCUGGGUAAAGAUAGAGACAACAGCAAAUGGGUAGUUUCAUUGGGGCGAUGGCUUUCAAAAGAGUAUCGAAAGCGUGCGAAGGUAGGCUCAAGCUGGUCGGAAACCAGUAGAAGAGCGCAAUGGUAUAAGCCUGCCUGACUGCAAGACCAACACGUCGAGCAGGGACGAAAGUCGGCCAUAGUGACCCGGGAGCACUGUGUGGAAUGGCUCUCGCUCAACGGAUUAAAGGUACGCUAGGGAUAGAAGCUAAUAUUAGCAUGUUGUCCCGCCUAAUGGCAACAUUAGGGCAAAAAGCAACCACUGGUAGGGCCCCUGACGGGCCAACCAGUGAUCUCCAUUUACUCAAUCACUACAAUAAAUGGACAACUGGGUGAAUUGCAGGAAAGCUGUCCCCUACCUGUUGCAUCACUUUGUGAUGUCUAAGGAAGAGAUGGGGUGCCAAUCUGCAGCGAAGCUUGCCGAAAAGAACCUGAACUAUUCAAAAAGUAGUCAGGGUGUAGGCAGGAACGUUCAACGACUAGAGGGUGAGGAGUUCUUACCAAUAAUCCUUCCACGAGCGCCCAGCAACUCUAAACUCAUGAAGAAUCAAUGAUAGAUUUUUCUAUCGUUGAAGAAUCACAGAUAGACAAAGUCUAUUAGAAAUAAACAUUAAGGAAACCUUAUGCAAGACGAAAAGGGGAGAAGCAACUUUUCUUAUUUACGCAAGGAGGAGAUCGGGAAAAGCCGCAACCUCUUGAAGAGAUACAAGCAACAGCUUGAUUGCCUGAGCAAGGAGCAAAAGGAUGUCGCAAUAGGGGUAAUGCUUGGAGAUGGUUCAUUGCAGACCCAAAAUGGUGGGAAAAGCUAUAGAUUGAAGUUGUUACAAGGUGGAAAGAAUAGGGAAUACCUAUUUCAUCUCUGUGAUGUCUUCUCCGAAUGGGUUCUUUCACCACCAUCGCCACAGCAUCGCAAAUCAGUGGCAACCGGAAAAGUGCUGGAAGCUUGGAGGGCACAAACCAUCUCCCAUCCAGCUUUUAAUGAGCUCGCGGAAAUCUUUUUGGACGAGAAAGGGAGAAAGAUUCUUCCUACCACUCUUGUAAGAGAUCAUCUUACACGCGUGGCCUUGCAUACUGGCUAAUGGAUGAUGGGGGAAGGUCUAACUACAACAAGGAUCGUCCCGAGCUGAAGGGAAUCACCAUCAACACCCAGGGAUUCACUGAGGCAGAGGUUCACUCGCUAGCAAGCGGGCUAAAGCUUUAUUUUAGACUUGAUUGCUGGGUUGGGCGAAACAAGGGCCGAUGGACGAUUAUCAUCUCUGGCCUUUCAUUUCAGCACCUUGCCAAAAUGAUCGGUCCCUACAUCCACCCAUCGAUGGGUACAAGUUCCCAAAGGGUAUGGAGAUAGAUUCUAUUUUGAAAAAUAGAGAUGGACAUUCUUUCUAAAAAACUUUUUUUAAAGUCUUGCAUCCUUCUGCCCCGGGAGGGGCGCCCUAAGCUCUCUCGAUGGCCUUGCGACCCACGGGUUGUGGGAAAGAGCUCCCACACGUGCACUAUCCCCCCCAUCUCAAUUUCUGAAAAUAUAAGAGUUAUAGUAGAGUUGAUGAAAUAGUCUGAACUUAUGGGAAACCACAAGAAGUGAGGGAUAAAGAGCCCUCACGGUAACAAAACUGAACAGGCUAAUGACUCCCAAGAGCUCAUAUCGACGGAGUCGUUUGGCACCUCGAUGUCGACUCAUCGCAUCCUGGGGCUGGAGAAGGUCCCAAGGGUUCGGCUGUUCGCCGAUGAAAGCGGUACGUGAGUUGGGUUUAGUGCGCCGAGAGGCAGUACGGUUCCUAUCUUUUUUGGGUGUGUGAAACUGAGAGAAUCAUUCCUUUGUACGAGAGGACCGGGAAUGGUAAACCUCUGGUCUACCAGUUGUUGCGCCAGCAGCAUCGCUGGGUAGCUACGUUUAGAUCGAGUAACUGCUGAAGGCCUAUCAAGCAGGAAAUCGUGUCUCAAAACAAGUUUCUAGACUCGUAGAAGAUCACUACGAAAUAGGCGGAGAGUGGAAACACAGCAAUGUGGGAGCUUAUCCGUACUAAUGGGCUGGAUAAUUUUAUUUUUCAAUACCACAGCCGAAU